UAGACACGGAUAUAGCGCAUCGCACAAGAUAUUGGCAAUGUAAAACACAUAAAAGCAGUAUUUAAAGUUAAUAACUAGUUAACAACCAGGUUAAUUCAAUGUUACCUCCGUUAAAUUUGUUAUAUUUAACAACAUCAAACUUAUUGGUAAUUGUAUUAAGGUAUUUAAUAAUACACAGGCUAAAAAAUAUAAAAAAAAACCCGCUAAAAAAGCGGGUUUCAUCAUUUAAAU
rnacentral:misc_RNA from 1 species